UCGCACUCUCCUAAUGACAUCACUCACCAUAAUGAUGCUCCUGUCUUAAAUUAUAUAGUGAAGUGAAAAAGAAUGAAAGCUGUCUAGACCAGGGGUGAAAAGAAUACUCAUAAUUUUUCUCCUGCUCAGUAAGGAAUGACACAUUGAGAUGCCCCAUGAGAAAAUGAUCAUUCCGUGCAAGAGUUUUGGAAUUUUGAGUUUCUGAACCAUUACUUUUUUUUAAAAAAAAAUCAUUUGAUUACAUACAUACACAUAGAACUUGGGUUGUUGUGAGUAUUCCGGGCUGUAUGGCCAUGUUCCAGAAACAUUCCCUCCUGACAUUUUGCUCACAUCUAUGGCAGUCAUCCUCAGAGGUUGAGGGGUCUGUUGGAAACUAAGUAAGUGGGGUUUAUAUAUCUGUGGAAUAAUGUCCAGGGUGGGAGAAAGAACUCUUGUCUCUUGCCAUUCAGUGCUAAUCAAGGUGGCCAAUUGCAACAGACAUGAGUUCUUUCUCCCACCCUGGACAUUAUUCCACCGAUAUAUAAACCCCACUUGCCUAGUUUCCAACAGACCUCACUGUUUCUCAUCUCAGUGCCUUUGGAAAACAAGCAUUCAGGACCACUUAGAAUAACCAUGCUUAUUUCCCUUUAUCUUGCCAGAGAAAAGACUGCCACGAACCCGAGGAGGGAGGCAGACCUACAGCGAAGCUUGAAAAAUCAACAACCGCCGCUUUAUCAUUUCCGACUCUGACUUAGUGCCACAGUUUACUUUUGUAGCUUGCCAGGCGAGGCCUUAUUGAUCAUAUUGCUGCUGGCAGAAAAUGAAAAUCCCGCCUGAUCAAAAGGCCGCGAAGAGGCUCUCCAAGGAGGAGGCUUGAAAGCCUACGGAGAUCUGGAGAAUAGCUGGAAAUUCAGAAGGAUGUGCCGUUUUGAUCUCUUUUUGAUUCUUGUGACCUGGAUGUUUGAAGAGGGUGAAUAGCAGGACUUUAUUUUGCAAUGAAGAUGGAUCAUAUAUUUUAUUUUAUUCUUUUGAAAGCUAGCAUGGCCUAUCUGUCAGGGAUGCUUUCCUGCAUGGCAGAGAGUUAGACUAGAUGUCCCAUGUGGUCUAUUAUUCUAUGAUUCUAUGGCAGGCAUGGGCAAGCUUUGUCUCUCGAGGUGUUUUGGACUCCAACUCCCACCAUUCCUAACAGCCUCAGGCCCCUUCCUUUUCCCUCUCAGCCGCUUAAGCAUGGCAUAGAGGUUUGAACAACUCUGGAGCAUGGUUCAAAUCUCCAUUUGUCCACAAAGUCAUUUUUAAAGCGAUUUUUGCAGUGCACCUACUACAAAAAUUAAAUUAAAAAGAGAGAACUGAACAUAGGAGAAAACCAAUAUUGGAAUCCAAAUUAAAACAGCACCCUGGAGAGCGAAAUGCUCAUUUUAAGAGUAGACCGAACCAGCAAAACCUUUGUUCGGUUCUCUUUUUAUCUUCCUUCAUGGGUCGUGUCUUAUCCAUAUAUCUUUGGAAUAUACCGUAGGCUUUAAAAUCGGAUGCUGCUCCGAUUAGGAGAACUCGAUUAGAAGGGGCCGAGCUGUGGCGCAGCUGGCUAGUAACCAGCUGCUAUAAAUCACUACUGACCGAGAGGUCAUGAGUUCGAAGCCCGGGUCGGGCUAAGCCUCCGACCAUUAAUAGCCCCGGCUUGCUGUUGACCUAUGCAGCCCCGAAAGACAGUUGCACCUGUCAAUUAGGGAAAUUUAGGGACGCUUUAUGCGGGAGGCUAAUUUACAACACCAUAAAACUGCCAGUAAAACACGAGGAAAGGAAUGAGGAAGUACAGCCACUACUGGACGGUGAAGCAACAGCUCCCCCUGUGGCCGGAAUCGUGAAGCUGGAAAAAUGUUAAAAAUGCCUCUGAGUCUGUCUAAUGUAUGUUGUUUGUCUGUUGGCAUUGAAUGUUUGCCAUAUAUGUGUUCAUUGUAAUCCGCCCUGAGUCCCCUUCGGGGUGAGAAGGGCGGAAUAUAAAUACUGUAAAUAAAUAAACUCCAGCUGUAUUUUCCAGUGCAAAU
rnacentral:lncRNA from 1 species